rnacentral:rRNA from 1 species
GACGUAGGGCGCGAGCGUUGUCCGGAUUUAUUGGGCGUAAAGAGCUCGUAGGCGGCUUGUCGCGUCGACUGUGAAAGCCCGCGGCUCAACCGCGGGUCUGCAGUCGAUACGGGCAGGCUAGAGUUCGGUAGGGGAGACUGGAAUUCCUGGUGUAGCGGUGAAAUGCGCAGAUAUCAGGAGGAACACCGGUGGCGAAAGCGGUGGUCUGGGCCGGCACUGACGCUGAGGAGCGAAAGCGUGGGGAGCGAACAGG